AUUCUGUUGUGAUUGUGUUUUUUGUGUUUCUUUUUGUGUUUGAGCCAAGCAAAGCGUUUAUGACUAGUCUUGGUAAUGGUUGUUUGAUCUUGCUGGAAAAAGAAAGAAACUUUUCGCUCACGAGAUGAUUUUCAUUUUUAUUCAGAAAGAGAUUUUGAGUUGAUUCUUCUUGCUGCUGACUGAUAUGCUUUUUGCCCAG
rnacentral:lncRNA from 1 species